CAGUCGAACGAGGUCCAUCCAGUAGCAAUACUGGGGAAGACCUAGUGGCGAACGGGUGAGUAACACGUGAGGAACCUGCCCCGAAGACCGGGAUAACGCUCCGAAAGGAACGCUAAUACCGGAUACCUUCACCAGACCGCAUGAUCCGGUGAAGAAAUGGAUUCCGCUUCGGGAGGGUCUCGCGGCCUAUCAGCUUGUUGGUGGGGUAACGGCCCACCAAGGCUUCGACGGGUAGCUGGUCUGAGAGGACGAUCAGCCACACUGGGACUGAGACACGGCCCAGACUCCUACGGGAGGCAGCAGUGGGGAAUCUUGCGCAAUGGGCGAAAGCCUGACGCAGCAACGCCGCGUGGGGGAUGAAGGCUCUCGGGUCGUAAACCCCUUUCAGCAGGGACGAAACUGACGGUACUUGCAGAAGAAGCCCCGGCCAACUACGUGCCAGCAGCCGCGGUAACACGUAGGGGGCAAGCGUUGUCCGGAUUUAUUGGGCGUAAAGAGCUCGUAGGUGGUUCGGUAAGUCAGGUGUGAAACCUCCAGGGCUCAACCUGGAGACGCCACUUGAUACUGCUGUGACUGGAGUCCGGUAGGGGGAGCGUGGAAUUCCUGGUGUAGCGGUGAAAUGCGCAGAUUUCAGGAGGAACACCAGCGGCGAAGGCGGCGCUUUGGGCCGGUACUGACACUGAGGAGCGAAAGCGUGGGUAGCAAACAGGAUUAGAUACCCCUGGUAGUCCACGCCGUUAACGUUGGGCACUAGGUGUGGGUCUCAACCAACGGGGAUCUGGUGCCGUACCUAACGCAUUUAAU
rnacentral:rRNA from 1 species